rfam:Triticum aestivum genome assembly, contig: Triticum_aestivum_CS42_TGACv1_scaffold_405295_5BL
GUGCUACUCCCUCAGUCCGAAAAAGCUUGUCCCUCAAAUGGAUGUAUCUAGCAUCAAGUUAGUGCUAGAUACAUCCAUUUAAAGGACAAGCUUGGGACAAGCUUUUUCCGGACGGAGGAAGUACUAA